rnacentral:lncRNA from 1 species
UGGCGGGGAAAAUUGGAUCUUUGUUCUUUACUGAUUGAAAUUAAAAUUAGUAUUUGAACCUAGAUAGAAACGGGAAUUCAUUAGCCUAGGACUUAUCACGAUCUAUUACAAAUUGAUUUUUUCAUCACGUCGUUUACCAUGUCGCAAGAAACGUUACGAUACAGGAUAUGGUGUUUUAGUUGUUAGUUGCUAUAGUCAAAUGAGAAGUCAUCACUCCACUAGGUUCAAUUUCAGAUGAAACAUGUCCACGGGUCUGCGUAUCAGUCCUCUCCGCUUGCCUAAGCCGAUGACGUAGACUUUUUUUUACGACCAAAAGUUAACUUGAAACACUAUUCUGCGAUUCAACUAUCUUGUUUACAUAAACGAAAUUAUCCUUAAUGAAAGACCAGGCAUAGUGCUUCGAAAAUGACUGCUCAUAUCCUCAGCCUUGUUAUAUUUGGAUACUUCCGAGUUAAACUGUUGCUAUUUUUUUCUUUUGUCAAAAUGAUGUGGAUGCUUGAGCAUCUGAGCAUACAUGCAAGCUACG